rnacentral:rRNA from 1 species
CCUACGGGAGGCAGCAGUGAGGAAUAUUGGUCAAUGGGCGCGAGUCUGAACCAGCCAAGUAGCGUGCAGGAUGACUGCCCUAAGGGUUGUAAACUUCUUUUAUAAAGGGAUAAAGUGAGGCACGUGUGCCUUUUUGUAUGUACCUUAUGAAUAAGGACCGGCUAAUUCCGUGCCAGCAGCCGCGGUAAUACGGAGGAUCCGAGCGUUAUCCGGAUUUAUUGGGUUUAAAGGGAGCGUAGAUGGGUUGUUAAGUCAGUUGUGAAAGGUUGCGGCUCAACCGUAAAAUUGCAAUUGAGACUGGCAGCCUUGAGUACAGUUGAGGUAGGCGGAAUUCGUGGUGUAGCGGUGAAAUGCUUAGAUAUCACGAAGAACUCCGAUUGCUAAGGCAGCUUACUAAACUGCCACUGACAUUGAUGCUCGAAGGUGUGGGUAUCAAACAGGAGUAGAUACCCCUGUAGUC